AAUUAUUUGUGUGUGUUUUGGACAGAUCGGGCCAAAGGUGGCGGCAGCAACAUGAGGGACCGGGCCACUAUUAAGCGUCUGAAUAUGUACAGACAAAAAAUUAGAUGUAACAACAGAGGUAAAGUCAUCAAGCCCUUACAGUACCAGUCCACCGUGGCUCCCGGGACAGUGGCCCGAGUCGAACCCAACAUCAAGUGGUUUGG